rnacentral:rRNA from 1 species
UACAUGGGGUGCAAACGUUGCUCGGAAUUAUUGGGCGUAAAGCGCGCGUAGGCGGUUACUUAAGUCGGAUGUGAAAGCCCUCGGCUUAACUGAGGAAGUGCACCCGAAACUGAGUAGCUAGAGUACGAAAGAGGGUCGCGGAAUUCCCGGUGUAGAGGUGAAAUUCGUAGAUAUCGGGAGGAACACCGGUGGCGAAGGCGGCGACCUGGGUCGAGACUGACGCUGAGGCGCGAAAGCGUGGGGAGCAGACAGG